AUGCAAAACUAUGAGCCGUUUUAUCUUCCCAAGGCGCCAGAACCAAAUGGGCAACUGGCGCACCAAACUGCUUGUCAUGUUGGCCGUGAGUCUAGCCUCCCUAAUUAUACCACCUUUUCACCGACUCUGCUAAUGAGAUAUGUGGCACAUACAAUUAGUCAAUGGAUAGUUGCAUUUCCCACAGUUGCAAGAGUAGAAACACUGAGAAAUUCAUCAUUCAGCAACAUUUCACUUUGCCCCGAAUCGUGGCGAUUUUAA